AUUUCAGUCUAUGGAGGCUUUGCACUAAAACACAAACUGCGUGGGAAUUGUCCUUCACAGUCACCAGGGAAGGGUUCUUUUUUGACGGCAGGAGCCACCUUUUGAUCCACACAGGGACUAUUAGUUUGGUUGGUUGUUGUGUCCUUGGGAAAGACACUUCACCCACCUUGCCUGCUAGUGGUGGUCAAAGGACCAGUGCAUGGUCGCACCGGUGCUCCUGUCUGUGUGCUGCUAUCCAGUAGCUUGACACCGUCAGUGUGUGAAUAAGUGUGUGAAAGGGUUGCAGUGUGAAGCACUUUGGGUCCUUUGCAGUUGAUAAAGCGCUAUACAAGUAAAAGCUAUACCUAUGAUGGUAGCUCUAGUCUGCUCUAGAUUUCUAGUGAACUUGUAUCUCCAGUCUCUAGUUGCCUUGUUUCCUGUGUUCCAGGUUUACCUGAAGCUCUUGUGUUUUCUCCGAUCCACCUAAGUGAGAACUUACUGUAUUUGUGUACUGCCAACAGCAGCCUGACAUUCUCAGCUCCUUCACCACCAUCAAGCUCUCAUCAGGAUUAAACCCGGGCAGCAGGCCUCGCAGCACUGACUGCAGAGCAUCCACGUUCUUCACCGAGUCCAUCUGGUCCCUGUCGGCACGGAUCUCCUCCACCCAGCCCAGCACCUGCAGGAACUGUUGACUGCUCUCCUCUGAGGCACAUGCUGUCUCCAGAGCCUGAGCCACAGCAUCAGAAGGUGAUUUUUCUA